CACAUCAUAACACAUUCACAAAAGUGUAUUUUUUGCUGUGUUAUCAGAGGAAUCAGAGUUUUUUCAGAGGACAGAUGUUUGUUCUCAGAGCAGAAGGUUUUUGUACGGCCUCUUAAUGAGUUUGUAUCACUGUGGGGGACUUUUGGUGGAGGAACCAAACUCACCGUUGACUUGGGUGUGGUGCGUCCCACCCUGAGCGUCCUCCCCCCCUCCAGAGAGGAGCUGCAGCAGAGCAGUGCCACACUGGUGUGUCUGGCCAGCGGGGGCUUCCCCUCGACCUGGAGUCUGGGCUGGAAGGUGGGGGGCAGCAGCAGGUCCUCGGGGGUGUCCCGCAGCGUGGAGGUCCUGGGGGGGGACGGCCACUACAGCUGGAGCAGCUCCCUGAGCCUCACUGCAGACCAGUGGAGGAAGGCGGGCUCAGUGAGCUGUGAGGCCAGUCUGAAUGGACAGAGCACUGUCACUCAAACCCUGGAGCCUGACCGCUGCUCAGAGUAGAGCUUCAGCAACACUUCCUGUCUGGAAAUGAUGCUUCUGAUACUUUCAUCAAGCUGCACAUCUUCUCUCUUCUCAUAUUUGCUCAACACGCGACUGUCCUUUCAUUUCUCCACGAUUCUGUUCUUUAACAAUUAUUGUAAAAAUGCUGAUAAAAUUUCAUGCGCAUGAAAGAAUAAACUGACAUUUAAUAAAAUCA